ACGAACGCUGGCGGCGUGGAUAAGACAUGCAAGUCGAACGAGAGAAUUGCUAGCUUGCUAAUAAUUCUCUAGUGGCGCACGGGUGAGUAACACGUGAGUAACCUGCCCCCGAGAGCGGGAUAGCCCUGGGAAACUGGGAUUAAUACCGCAUAGUAUCGAAAGAUUAAAGCAGCAAUGCGCUUGGGGAUGGGCUCGCGGCCUAUUAGUUAGUUGGUGAGGUAACGGCUCACCAAGGCGAUGACGGGUAGCCGGUCUGAGAGGAUGUCCGGCCACACUGGAACUGAGACACGGUCCAGACACCUACGGGUGGCAGCAGUCGAGAAUCAUUCACAAUGGGGGAAACCCUGAUGGUGUGACGCCGCGUGGGGGAAUGAAGGUCUUCGGAUUGUAAACCCCUGUCAUGUGGGAGCAAAUUAAAAAGAUAGUACCACAAGAGGAAGAGACGGCUAACUCUGUGCCAGCAGCCGCGGUAAUACAGAGGUCUCAAGCGUUGUUCGGAAUCACUGGGCGUAAAGCGUGCGUAGGCUGUUUCGUAAGUCGUGUGUGAAAGGCGCGGGCUCAACCCGCGGACGGCACAUGAUACUGCGAGACUAGAGUAAUGGAGGGGGAACCGGAAUUCUCGGUGUAGCAGUGAAAUGCGUAGAUAUCGAGAGGAACACUCGUGGCGAAGGCGGGUUCCUGGACAUUAACUGACGCUGAGGCACGAAGGCCAGGGGAGCGAAAGGGAUUAGAUACCCCUGUAGUCCUGGCAGUAAACGGUGCACGCUUGGUGUGCGGGGAAUCGACCCCCUGCGUGCCGGAGCUAACGCGUUAAGCGUGCCGCCUGGGGAGUACGGUCGCAAGAUUAAAACUCAAAGAAAUUGACGGGGACCCGCACAAGCGGUGGAGUAUGUGGCUUAAUUCGAUGCAACGCGAAGAACCUUACCUGGGCUUGACAUGUAAUGAACAACAUGUGAAAGCAUGCGACUCUUCGGAGGCGUUACACAGGUGCUGCAUGGCCGUCGUCAGCUCGUGUCGUGAGAUGUUUGGUUAAGUCCAGCAACGAGCGCAACCCCUGUUGCCAGUUACCAGCACGUGAAGGUGGGGACUCUGGCGAGACUGCCCAGAUCAACUGGGAGGAAGGUGGGGACGACGUCAGGUCAGUAUGGCCCUUAUGCCCAGGGCUGCACACGUACUACAAUGCCCAGUACAGAGGGGGCCGAAGCCGCGAGGCGGAGGAAAUCCUGAAAACUGGGCCCAGUUCGGACUGUAGGCUGCAACCCGCCUACACGAAGCCGGAAUCGCUAGUAAUGGCGCAUCAGCUACGGCGCCGUGAAUACGUUCCCGGGUCUUGUACACACCGCCCGUCACGUCAUGGAAGCCGGUCGCACCCGAAGUAUCUGAAGCCAACCGCAAGGAGGCAGGGUCCUAAGGUGAGACUGGUAACUGGGAUG
rnacentral:rRNA from 1 species